rnacentral:lncRNA from 1 species
UUUCUAUGAUCUGCGCCUUUGCUAUGACUGCUGAAUAUGUCUCGAGCUCCAUUACCAGUAAGUGCUGUCUGAUCUCCGGGCAGAGACCCCACUGGAAUUUUCUGGCCUUUCGGCCCUCAUCCAUCAAUGUCUCCGGGGCAUAUCGGCCCAGCUCCAGGAACUUACGGGCAUACUCCGACACUGUCAUGUUUCCCUGGACCAAUUGAGCAAACUCCAUUUCCUUCAGGUGUCGGAUGUGUUUAGGGAGAUACUACGCGUGGAAGGCCGCUAAGAACUGCUCCCAAGUAGCUGGUGUAGGCAGGGUGGUCCGCUUGAGCUCCCACUAGCAUAUUGCUUCCCCUACCAGCAUGUAGGAGGCAAUGGCAGCCCUCUGCUCAGGAACUACUCCCAAGGUCUUGAAAGCUCUCUUAGUCU